GGGUUGUGAGGUUAAGCGAAUAAGCGUACACGGUGGAUGCCUAGGCAAUCAGAGGCGAUGAAGGACGUGCUAAUCUGCGAUAAGCGUCGGUAAGGUGAUAUGAACCGUUAUACCCGACGAUUUCCGAAUGGGGAAACCCAAUAUCCAAUGGAUAUUAUCAUGACGUGAAUACAUAGCGUCAUGAAGCGAACCGGGAGAACUGAAACAUCUCAGUACCCCGAGGAAAAGAAAUCAACCGAGAUUCCCCUAGUAGCGGCGAGCGAACGGGGAACAGCCCAGAGUCUUAAUCAAUAGCAGCAUCAGGAGAACGGUCUGGAAAGUCCGGCAGUAAAGGGUGAUAGCCCCGUAUCUGAAGAUGCUGUUAUUGUGAACUCGACGAGUAGGGCGGGACACGUGUUAUCCUGUCUGAAUAUGGGGGGACCAUCCUCCAAGGCUAAAUACUCCUGAUUGACCGAUAGUGAACCAGUACCGUGAGGGAAAGGCGAAAAGAACCCCGGCGAGGGGAGUGAAAAAGAACCUGAAACCGUGUACGUACAAGCAGUAGGAGCCCCACCACUAAGCUAGUGGUGAACUCACAGCGAUUCUUUUGCAUGAUAAUGUGCGGUAGACGGAGCGAAAGUGACGUCCAACCAACAAAAUCAAGCAGAGGAGGCUUAGUGGUGGGGUGACUGCGUACCUUUUGUAUAAUGGGUCAGCGACUUAUAUUCUGUAGCAAGGUUAACCGUAUAGGGGAGCCGUAGGGAAACCGAGUCUUAACUGGGCGAAUGAGUUGCAGGGUAUAGACCCGAAACCCGGUGAUCUAUCCAUGGGCAGGUUGAAGGUUGGGUAACACUAACUGGAGGACCGAACCGACUAAUGUUGAAAAAUUAGCGGAUGACUUGUGGAUGGGGGUGAAAGGCCAAUCAAACCGGGAGAUAGCUGGUUCUCCCCGAAAGCUAUUUAGGUAGCGCCUCGUGAACUCAUCUUCGGGGGUAGAGCACUGUUUCGACUAGGGGGUCAUCCCGACUUACCAACUCGAUGCAAACUGCGAAUACCGAAGAAUGUUAUCACGGGAGACACACGGCGGGUGCUAACGUCCGUCGUGAAGAGGGAAACAACCCAGACCGCCAGCUAAGGUCCCAAAGUCAUGGUUAAGUGGGAAACGAAGUGGGAAGGCUCAGACAGCCAGGAUGUUGGCUUAGAAGCAGCCAUCAUUUAAAGAAAGCGUAAUAGCUCACUGGUCGAGUCGGCCCGCGCGGAAGAUGUAACGGGGCUAAACCAUGCACCGAAGCUGCGGCAGCGACACUAUGUGUUGUUGGGUAGGGGAGCGUUCUGUAAGCCUGCGAAGGUGUACUGUGAGGUAUGCUGGAGGUAUCAGAAGUGCGAAUGCUGACAUAAGUAACGAUAAUGCGGGUGAAAAACCCGCACGCCGGAAGACCAAGGGUUCCUGUCCAACGUUAAUCGGGGCAGGGUGAGUCGACCCCUAAGGCGAGGCUGAAAAGCGUAGUCGAUGGGAAACGGGUUAAUAUUCCCGUACUGGUGGUAACUGCGAUGGGGGAACGGAGAAGGCUAGGUUGUCCGGGCGACGGUCGUCCCGGUUCAAGCAUGUAGGCAGAGUGAUUAGGCAAAUCCGGUCACUUAAUGCUGAGGUGUGAUGACGAACCACUAAGGUGGUGAAGCAAUUGAUGCCCUGCUUCCAGGAAAAGCCUCUAAGCUUCAGGUUACCAACAAUCGUACCCCAAACCGACACAGGUGGUCAGGUAGAGAAUACUCAGGCGCUUGAGAGAACUCGGGUGAAGGAACUAGGCAAAAUGGUGCCGUAACUUCGGGAGAAGGCACGCUGGCGGUAAGUGAAGUCCCUUGCGGACGGAGCCGAAGCCAGUCGAAGAUACCAGCUGGCUGCAACUGUUUAUUAAAAACACAGCACUGUGCAAACACGAAAGUGGACGUAUACGGUGUGACGCCUGCCCGGUGCUGGAAGGUUAAUUGAUGGGGUUAUCCGUAAGGAGAAGCUCUUGAUCGAAGCCCCAGUAAACGGCGGCCGUAACUAUAACGGUCCUAAGGUAGCGAAAUUCCUUGUCGGGUAAGUUCCGACCUGCACGAAUGGCGUAAUGAUGGCCAGGCUGUCUCCACCCGAGACUCAGUGAAAUUGAACUCGCUGUGAAGAUGCAGUGUACCCGCGGCAAGACGGAAAGACCCCGUGAACCUUUACUAUAGCUUGACACUGAACAUUGAGCCUUGAUGUGUAGGAUAGGUGGGAGACUAUGAAGUGUGGACGCCAGUCUGCAUGGAGUCAACCUUGAAAUACCACCCUUUAACGUUUGAUGUUCUAACCUAGGUCCAUAAUCUGGAUCGGGGACCGUGUCUGGUGGGUAGUUUGACUGGGGCGGUCUCCUCCUAAAGAGUAACGGAGGAGCACGAAGGUUGGCUAAGCAUGGUCGGACAUCAUGCGGUUAGUGCAAAGGCAUAAGCCAGCUUGACUGUGAGAGUGACGGCUCGAGCAGGUACGAAAGUAGGUCUUAGUGAUCCGGUGGUUCUGAAUGGAAGGGCCAUCGCUCAACGGAUAAAAGGUACUCCGGGGAUAACAGGCUGAUACCGCCCAAGAGUUCAUAUCGACGGCGGUGUUUGGCACCUCGAUGUCGGCUCAUCACAUCCUGGGGCUGAAGUAGGUCCCAAGGGUAUGGCUGUUCGCCAUUUAAAGUGGUACGCGAGCUGGGUUUAGAACGUCGUGAGACAGUUCGGUCCCUAUCUGCCGUGGGCGUUGGAAGAUUGAGAGGGGUUGCUCCUAGUACGAGAGGACCGGAGUGAACGCACCACUGGUGUUCGGGUUGUCAUGCCAAUGGCAUUGCCCGGUAGCUAAGUGCGGAAGAGAUAACCGCUGAAAGCAUCUAAGCGGGAAACUUGCCUCGAGAUGAGUCUUCCCUGUCACCUUGAGUGACCUAAAGGAACGUUUAAGACUAAGACGUUGAUAGGCUGGGUGUGUAAGCGUAGCGAUACGUUGAGCUAACCAGUACUAAUGAACCGUGAGGCUUAACCUGACAACACCGAAGGUGUUU
rnacentral:rRNA from 1 species